rfam:Martelella sp. AD-3, complete genome.
GCGGGUGUAGCUCAGCUGGUUAGAGUGCCGGCCUGUCACGCCGGAGGUCGCGGGUUCGAGCCCCGUCACUCGCG